GCUUAAAAUCUAGCCCCAAUAAUACAGAAUAUAAAAUUCACAAACACCCUCUGCUAACUAAACCAUUCUAACACUUUAGUAAAGGAGAUUGAAAAAGCACUAAGAGCUAUAUACAGAGUACCGCAAGGGAAAGAUGAAAUAAAAAUGAAAUAGUUAUAAAGCACAAAAAAGUAAAGAUUACCCCUUGUACCUUUCGCAUCAUGGUUUAACCAGUCUAACCAAGCAAAAAGAAUUUAAGUUUGACCUCCCGAAACUAAGUGAGCUACUUCAAGGCAGCUUAUUGAGCUAACCCGUCCCUGUUGCAAAAGGGUGGGAAGACCUUCAAGUAGGGGUGACAGACCUAACGAACUUAGUGAUAGCUGGUUACUCAAGAAAAGGAUUUUAGUCCAACCUAAAAUUUUACUAAUAACCCAAAAUAAACUAUUUUAGAGCAAUUUAAAUAAGGUACAGCCUAUUUAAAACAGGAUACAACCUAAACUAACGGGUCAUCUUCAUUUUCUGUACAACUAAGUGGGCCUAAAAGCAGCCACCUUUAAUAAAAGCGUCAAAGCUUAAUUGAACCGAUACCCCAAUACCAAAAAUUACAGCAAACCCUUUACCAGUAUUGAGUAAUUCUAUAUUUGUAUAGAAAUUAUUAUGUUAAAACUAGUAACAAGAAGAAGAACUUCUCUUAGAUGCAAGUGUAAAUCAGAAAGGACACCCCACUGAUAAUUAUUCACCCAUGAACACAAAGUAGCAACUUAACAAGAAAACCCUACUUGUCCUAAUGUUAACCUAACACAAGAGCAUCUCAAGAAAGAUUAAAAGAAAAAGAAGGAAUUCGGCAAAUAUUAACCUCGCCUGUUUACCAAAAACAUCGCCUCUUGACAAACUAUAAGAGGUCCAGCCUGCCCAGUGACUCUGUUCAACGGCCGCGGUAUCCUAACCGUGCGAAGGUAGCGUAAUCACUUGUUCUUUAAAUGAGGACUAGUAUGAAUGGCACCACGAGGGUUAUACUGUCUCCUUUUUCUAAUCAGUAAAACUAAUCUUCCCGUGCAGAAGCGGGAAUAAACCUAUAAGACGAGAAGACCCUAUGGAGCUUUAAACUAAGUCACAUUUGCUUUACUCUCUACCCCUCCCCAGAGAAGUCAUAAACAUCUUAACAAACUGAUGACUAGUUUUCGGUUGGGGUGACCGCGGAGCAAAAAAAAACCUCCACAUUGAAAGGAACUUAAUCCUAAGCCAAGAGCCACAACUCUAAGCAUCAAUAAAACGACAUUAAUUGACCCAAUAUAUUGAUCAACGAACCAAGUUACCCUAGGGAUAACAGCGCAAUCCACUUCAAGAGCUCCUAUCGACAAGUGGGUUUACGACCUCGAUGUUGGAUCAGGGUAUCCCGGUGGUGCAGCCGCUACCAAAGGUUCGUUUGUUCAACGAUUAAAACCCU
rnacentral:rRNA from 1 species